CUGCUCAGGACGAACGCUGGCGGCGUGCCUAAUACAUGCAAGUCGAACGAACUCUGGUAUUGAUUGGUGCUUGCAUCAUGAUUUACAUUUGAGUGAGUGGCGAACUGGUGAGUAACACGUGGGAAACCUGCCCAGAAGCGGGGGAUAACACCUGGAAACAGAUGCUAAUACCGCAUAACAACUUGGACCGCAUGGUCCGAGUUUGAAAGAUGGCUUCGGCUAUCACUUUUGGAUGGUCCCGCGGCGUAUUAGCUAGAUGGUGGGGUAACGGCUCACCAUGGCAAUGAUACGUAGCCGACCUGAGAGGGUAAUCGGCCACAUUGGGACUGAGACACGGCCCAAACUCCUACGGGAGGCAGCAGUAGGGAAUCUUCCACAAUGGACGAAAGUCUGAUGGAGCAACGCCGCGUGAGUGAAGAAGGGUUUCGGCUCGUAAAACUCUGUUGUUAAAGAAGAACAUAUCUGAGAGUAACUGUUCAGGUAUUGACGGUAUUUAACCAGAAAGCCACGGCUAACUACGUGCCAGCAGCCGCGGUAAUACGUAGGUGGCAAGCGUUGUCCGGAUUUAUUGGGCGUAAAGCGAGCGCAGGCGGUUUUUUAAGUCUGAUGUGAAAGCCUUCGGCUCAACCGAAGAAGUGCAUCGGAAACUGGGAAACUUGAGUGCAGAAGAGGACAGUGGAACUCCAUGUGUAGCGGUGAAAUGCGUAGAUAUAUGGAAGAACACCAGUGGCGAAGGCGGCUGUCUGGUCUGUAACUGACGCUGAGGCUCGAAAGUAUGGGUAGCAAACAGGAUUAGAUACCCUGGUAGUCCAUACCGUAAACGAUGAAUGCUAAGUGUUGGAGGGUUUCCGCCCUUCAGUGCUGCAGCUAACGCAUUAAGCAUCCGC
rnacentral:rRNA from 1 species